rnacentral:rRNA from 1 species
ACGCUGGCGGCAGGCCUAACACAUGCAAGUCGAGCGGUAGCACGGGAGAGCUUGCUCUCUGGGUGACGAGCGGCGGACGGGUGAGUAAUGUCUGGGAAACUGCCUGAUGGAGGGGGAUAACUACUGGAAACGGUAGCUAAUACCGCAUGACCUCGCAAGAGCAAAGUGGGGGACCUUCGGGCCUCACGCCAUCGGAUGUGCCCAGAUGGGAUUAGCUAGUAGGUGGGGUAAUGGCUCACCUAGGCGACGAUCCCUAGCUGGUCUGAGAGGAUGACCAGCCACACUGGAACUGAGACACGGUCCAGACUCCUACGGGAGGCAGCAGUGGGGAAUAUUGCACAAUGGGCGCAAGCCUGAUGCAGCCAUGCCGCGUGUGUGAAGAAGGCCUUAGGGUUGUAAAGCACUUUCAGCGAGGAGGAAGGGUACAGUGUUAAUAGCACUGUACAUUGACGUUACUCGCAGAAGAAGCACCGGCUAACUCCGUGCCAGCAGCCGCGGUAAUACGGAGGGUGCAAGCGUUAAUCGGAAUUACUGGGCGUAAAGCGCACGCAGGCGGUUUGUUAAGUCAGAUGUGAAAUCCCCGAGCUUAACUUGGGAACUGCAUUUGAAACUGGCAAGCUAGAGUCUUGUAGAGGGGGGUAGAAUUCCAGGUGUAGCGGUGAAAUGCGUAGAGAUCUGGAGGAAUACCGGUGGCGAAGGCGGCCCCCUGGACAAAGACUGACGCUCAGGUGCGAAAGCGUGGGGAGCAAAC